rnacentral:rRNA from 1 species
CCUCCGUUCUUCCGCCGUUCUUACUAUUUUUCACUUGUCUUUAUACUUAACCAGCCAAGCCGCGUGAGGGAUGAAGGUACAGAGUAUCGUAAACCUCUUUUGUCAGGGAACAAAGGCGGGGACGCGUCCCCGGAUGAGUGUACCUGAAGAAAAAGCAUCGGCUAACUCCGUGCCAGCAGCCGCGGUAAUACGGAGGAUGCGAGCGUUAUCCGGAUUUAUUGGGUUUAAGGGGUGCGCAGGCGGUCUGUUAAGUCAGCGGUCAAAGCCCGGGGCUCAACCCCGGCCCGCCGUUGAAACUGGCAGUCUCGAGUUGGAGAGAAGUAUGCGGAAUGCGCGGUGUAGCGGUGAAAUGCAUAGAUAUCGCGCAGAACUCCGAUUGCGAAGGCAGCAUGCCGGCUCCACACUGACGCUGAGGCACGAAAGCGUGGGUAUCGAACAGGAUUAGAUACCCUUGUAGUC